rnacentral:tRNA from 1 species
UUCCACCCACGGUAGGAAGCGCGGGACGUAUUGCGAUAUCCAGAGGAGAAUGUGGUAGGUGUGGAAGCCGACACUGCCGCCG